CGUUCGAUGAAGUAAAACUUUCAGAAAACAUCAGUGCAAAACCAUCUGGCGAGCUCACUGGCUUUGUGGACCUUGCUUCAUUUACGGAAGAUUCUACGAAGUCUACAACAAGUGACCAUGGCCUUGUCGUCAUGUUCCAGCCAUUUCAAGGAAAAUGGACCAAAAUAUUGGGUGUAUUUGCUACCCAUGAAAAUGUUAAAGUUCCUGUACUGUCCAAAAUUUUGCUGGAGGCCACGCUACUAGCUGAAAGGCUGGGCUCUUCACCGACUUUUGGGUCAGUGAUGGUGCUUCUUGGAAUCGCUCCCUCUGGAAACGAUUUGGCAUCAUAGCUUCAUCGUGGGAAAUGAAGUGCGAGGUUCCUCAUCCCGUAGACGGAGCAAGAAGCCUACACUUCAUUUCUGAUUUUCCGCACAUUGUCAAAUGCAUACGGAAUGCAUUUGUCUCUAAGGGACUCCAGAUUCCAAAUGGCAAUGCACUUGUUGGCGUUAUAAAAGAAGCAUGGAAAUUAGACGAGGACGCAUUGACAUUGAAAGUCAUGCCACACUUGACAUUAGUCCAUUUGCAGCCAAUUUUGUUUUUAUAAAAUGCGUUUACAUUUAGAAUUUCAGCUGUUCAGUGAAAAAGUAUUGAAAGGGCUUUUUUUUUACGAAGACAAGUUGGACAAGGCUUAUCGUUCAUUUCAACCAACAGAGCAAUUCGUGCAACUUAUGGAACGAUUAAUUUUUGUGAUGACAUCUUGAAUACCCUCAAAGGGACCUAGGGAGAAGUCCAAGAGUGCGGCAUUUAUUGA